GACGAACGCUGCCGGCGUGCUUAACACAUGCAAGUCGAACGGGCUGCCUGGUUUUCGGAUCGGGUGGUGAGUGGCGAACGGGUGAGUAACACGUGAGUAACCUGCCCCUCUCUUUGGGAUAACGUCGGGAAAUCGGCGCUAAUACCGGGUAUUCUGGCUUCCUCGCAUGGGGUUGUUGGGAAAGGUUUUUUCUGGUGGGGGAUGGGCUCGCGGCCUAUCAGCUUGUUGGUGGGGUGAUGGCCUACCAAGGCGGUGACGGGUAGCCGGCCUGAGAGGGUGUCCGGCCACACUGGGACUGAGACACGGCCCAGACUCCUACGGGAGGCAGCAGUGGGGAAUAUUGCACAAUGGGCGGAAGCCUGAUGCAGCGACGCCGCGUGGGGGAUGACGGCCUUCGGGUUGUAAACCUCUUUCAGUGCAGAACAAGGCUCUUUGUGGGUUGAGGGUAUGCGCAGAAGAAGCGCCGGCUAACUACGUG
rnacentral:rRNA from 1 species